GAUGAACGCUAGCGGCAGGCCUAACACAUGCAAGUCGAGGGGCAGCACAGAUUAGUUUACUAAUUGGGUGGCGACCGGCGCACGGGUGCGUAACGCGUAUGCAACCUACCCUGUACUGGGGGAUAGCCCGGAGAAAUUCGGAUUAACACCCCAUAGUAUUAUGUAACUGCAUGGUUAUAUAAUUAAAGGUAACGGUACAGGAUGGGCAUGCGUCCUAUUAGCUAGAUGGUGAGGUAACGGCUCACCAUGG
rnacentral:rRNA from 1 species